ACAAGUACCGUGAGGGAAAGUUGCAAAGUACUUUGAAGAGAGAGUUCAAGAGGACGUGAAACCGGUAGGAUGGAAGCAGAUGAAGUUGACGAACGUGUGUCGUAUUCAGAAUCGCUGUCAGCGGUUUGUUUUUACGGCCGAUGUGGGCCGGCGGCUUUGGUCAAUGCAAUGCGUCUAGCGUCGAUGGAGACCCUGCGGAGGGAUAAUCGGUCGGCGUACGGUGCUUGGUAUGGCUAAGGUUUCGCCGGUCUUAAAGUCAGCGCCUCAUCUGACCCGUCUUGAAACACGGACCAAGGAGUGUAGCGUUUGCGCAAGUCUUAGAGUGUGUCGAAACUUUGAGGCGUAACGAAAGUAAAUGCAGUUUAACCUGCUGACUUGGGAUGCGUUGUCUCCUGUGGACGGCGCUGGACCAUGGUUUUAUCGCGAUCGCUUGCGAUGCGGUGAAAAUAGAGCGUAAACGGUGCGACCCGAAAGAUGGUGAACUAUGCCUGAGCAGGAUGAAGCCGGAGGAAACUCUGGUGGAAGUCCGAAGCGGUUCUGACGUGCAAAUCGAUCGUCUGACUUGGGUAUAGGGGCGAAAGACUAAUCGAACCAUCUAGUAGCUGGUUCCUUCCGA
rnacentral:rRNA from 1 species